GGGGAAGGCUAACAUGCAGUUCCAGCGAGCUUGCCUAGAUGAUUUUAGUGCUUGCACUAAAUGAAACUAGAUACAAGCCCGUGAAAGGACGGGUGAGUAACACGUGGGUAACCUGCCCACCUUAAAGGGAUAACACCUGGAAACAGAUGCUAAUACCGGAUAACAACACUAGACGCAUGUCUAGAGUUUGAAAGAUCGUUCUGCUAUCACUCUUGGAUGGACCUGCGGUGCAUUAGCUAGUUGGUAAGGUAACGGCUUACCAAGGCACUGAUGCAUAGCCGAGUUGAGAGACUGAUCGGCCACAUUGGGACUGAGACACGGCCCAAACUCCUACGGGAGGCACCAUUAGGGAAUCUUCCACAAGGGACAAAAGUCUGAUGGAGCAACGCCGCGGGAGUGAAAAAGGGUUUCGGCUCGUAAAGCUCUGUUGGUAGUGAAAAAAAAUAAAGGUAGUAACUGGCCUUUAUUUGACGGUAAUUACUUAAAAAGUCACGGCUAACUACGUGCCACCACCCGCGGAAAUACGUAGGUGGCAAGCGUUGUCCGGAUUUAUUGGGCGUAAAGCGAGUGCAGGCGGUUCAAUAAUUCUGAUGUGAAAGCCUUCGGCUCAACCGGAAAAUUGCAUCAAAAACUGUUGAACUUGAGUGCAAAAAAGGAAAGGGGAACUCCUUGUGUAGCGGGGGAAUGCGUAAAUAUAUGG
rnacentral:rRNA from 1 species